rnacentral:rRNA from 1 species
AACGAACGCUGGCGGCAUGCCUAACACAUGCAAGUCGAGCGCACCCUUCGGGGUGAGCGGCUGACGGGGAGGUAACGCGGGGGAACUUGCCCUUCUCUGCGGAAUAGCCUCGGGAAGCUAAGAGUAAUACCGCAUACGCCCUUUGGGGGACAGAUUUAUCGGAGAAGGGUCGGCCCGCGUUGGCUUAGGUAGUUGGUGUGGUAAUUGCCCCCCAAGCCGACGAGCCAGAGCUGGGUAGAGAGACUGAUCAGCCACACUGGGGCUGGGAAACGGUCCAGACUCUUACGGGAGGCAGGAGUGGGGGAUCUUAGAAAAUGGGGGCAACGCUGAUCGAGCCAGGGCGGGUGAGUGAUGAAGGCCUUAGGGUUGUAAAGCUCUUUAAGCUGGGCAGAUAAUGACGGUACCAGAAGAAGAAGCCCCGGCUAACUCCGUG